AUAAGUAGAAAAAGUGUUCAAGACU
rnacentral:piRNA from 1 species